GUUAUAUGGUCAAGUGACUAAGCGUAUACGGUGGAUGCCUUGGCAGUUGGAGGCGAUGAAGGACGUUGUAGCCUGCGAAAAGCUUCGGGGAGUCGGCAAACAGACUUUGAUCCGGAGAUGUCCGAAUGGGGAAACCCACCUGGUGUAAGCCAGGUAUCUAUUACUGAAUACAUAGGUAAUAGAGGCGAACGAGGGGAACUGAAACAUCUAAGUACCCUUAGGAACAGAAAUCAAUUGAGAUUCCCCCAGUAGCGGCGAGCGACCGGGGAAGAGCCUGCAAGUAAUAGCAGUGCGGUUAGUGGAACGGUCUGGAAAGUCCGGCGAUAGAGGGUGAUAGCCCCGUACACGAAAACUGCGCUGUGGUACUGAGCUUGCGACAAGUAGGUCGGGACACGUGAUAUCUUGACUGAAUAUGGGGGGACCAUCCUCCAAGGCUAAAUACUCCUUACUGACCGAUAGUGAACCAGUACCGUGAGGGAAAGGCGAAAAGAACCCCGUUGAGGGGAGUGAAAUAGAACCUGAAACCGUAUGCGUACAAGCAGUGGGAGCAGACUUGUUCUGUGACUGCGUACCUUUUGUAUAAUGGGUCAGCGACUUAUAUUCUGUAGCAAGGUUAACCGACUAGGGGAGCCGUAGCGAAAGCGAGUGUUAACUGCGCGUUUAGUUGCAGGGUAUAGACCCGAAACCCGGCGAUCUACCCAUGGGCAGGUUGAAGGUUGAGUAACAUCAACUGGAGGACCGAACACACGUAUGUUGAAAAAUGCGGUGAUGACUUGUGGGUCGGAGUGAAAGGCUAAUCAAGCCGGGAGAU
rnacentral:rRNA from 1 species